GGAUGAUGUGGUUUAAUUCGAUGCAACGCGAAAACCUUACCACCUUUGACAUGUUACGGAAUCCUUUAGAGAUAGAGGAGUGCUCGAAAGAGAGCCGUAACACAGGUGCUGCAUGGCCGUCGUCAGCUCGUGUCGUGAGAUGUUGGGUUAAGUCCCGCAACGAGCGCAACCCUUGUCAUUAGUUGCUACAUUCAGUUGGGCACUCUAAUGAGACUGCCGGUGACAAACCGGAGGAAGGUGGGGAUGACGUCAAGUCCUCAUGGCCCUUAUAGGUGGGGCUACACACGUCAUACAAUGGAUGGUACAAAGGGUCGCCAACCCGCGAGGGGGAGCCAAUCCCAUAAAGCCAUUCGUAGUCCGGAUCGCAGUCUGCAACUCGACUGCGUGAAGUCGGAAUCGCUAGUAAUCGUGGAUCAGAAUGUCACGGUGAAUACGUUCCCGGGUCUU
rnacentral:rRNA from 1 species